CCAAAGGCUCUUUUAAGAGCCACCCACUUAGGCAAAGGAAGAGCUG
rfam:Ophiophagus hannah scaffold733.1, whole genome shotgun sequence.